AUUUAUGUAGUUUACUUAAAAACGUUACACUUUCACUGUAGAGAGGGGCCGAAGCCUCAUAGAUA
rnacentral:tRNA from 1 species